rnacentral:rRNA from 1 species
UACGAAGGGGGCUAGCGUUGCUCGGAAUCACUGGGCGUAAAGGGUGCGUAGGCGGGUCUUUAAGUCAGGGGUGAAAUCCUGGAGCUCAACUCCAGAACUGCCUUUGAUACUGAGGAUCUUGAGUUCGGGAGAGGUGAGUGGAACUGCGAGUGUAGAGGUGAAAUUCGUAGAUAUUCGCAAGAACACCAGUGGCGAAGGCGGCUCACUGGCCCGAUACUGACGCUGAGGCGCGAAAGCUAGGGGAGCAAACGGGG